rnacentral:rRNA from 1 species
AUGGCUCAGGACGAACGCUGGCGGCGUGCCUAAUACAUGCAAGUAGAACGCUGAAGAGAGGAGCUUGCUCUUCUUGGAUGAGUUGCGAACGGGUGAGUAACGCGUAGGUAACCUGCCUUGUAGCGGGGGAUAACUAUUGGAAACGAUAGCUAAUACCGCAUAACAAUGGAUGACACAUGUCAUUUAUUUGAAAGGGGCAAUUGUUCCACUACAAGAUGGACCUGCGUUGUAUUAGCUAGUAGGUGAGGUAAUGGCUCACCUAGGCGACGAUACAUAGCCGACCUGAGAGGGUGAUCGGCCACACUGGGACUGAGACACGGCCCAGACUCCUACGGGAGGCAGCAGUAGGGAAUCUUCGGCAAUGGGGGCAACCCUGACCGAGCAACGCCGCGUGAGUGAAGAAGGUUUUCGGAUCGUAAAGCUCUGUUGUAAGUCAAGAACGGGUGUGAGAGUGGAAAGUUCACACUAUGACGGUAGCUUACCAGAAAGGGACGGCUAACUACGUGCCAGCAGCCGCGGUAAUACGUAGGUCCCGAGCGUUGUCCGGAUUUAUUGGGCGUAAAGCGAGCGCAGGCGGUUUGAUAAGUCUGAAGUUAAAGGCUGUGGCUCAACCAUAGUUCGCUUUGGAAACUGUCAAACUUGAGUGCAGAAGGGGAGAGUGGAAUUCCAUGUGUAGCGGUGAAAUGCGUAGAUAUAUGGAGGAACACCGGUGGCGAAAGCGGCUCUCUGGUCUGUAACUGACGCUGAGGCUCGAAAGCGUGGGGAGCGAACAGGAUUAGAUACCCUGGUAGUCCACGCCGUAAACGAUGAGUGCUAGGUGUUGGAUCCUUUCCGGGAUUCAGUGCCGCAGCUAACGCAUUAAGCACUCCGCCUGGGGAGUACGACCGCAAGGUUGAAACUCAAAGGAAUUGACGGGGGCCCGCACAAGCGGUGGAGCAUGUGGUUUAAUUCGAAGCAACGCGAAGAACCUUACCAGGUCUUGACAUCCCGAUGCUAUUUCUAGAGAUAGAAAGUUACUUCGGUACAUCGGUGACAGGUGGUGCAUGGUUGUCGUCAGCUCGUGUCGUGAGAUGUUGGGUUAAGUCCCGCAACGAGCGCAACCCCUAUCGUUAGUUGCCAUCAUUCAGUUGGGCACUCUAGCGAGACUGCCGGUAAUAAACCGGAGGAAGGUGGGGAUGACGUCAAAUCAUCAUGCCCCUUAUGACCUGGGCUACACACGUGCUACAAUGGUUGGUACAACGAGUUGCGAGUCGGUGACGGCGAGCUAAUCUCUUAAAGCCAAUCUCAGUUCGGAUUGUAGGCUGCAACUCGCCUACAUGAAGUCGGAAUCGCUAGUAAUCGCGGAUCAGCACGCCGCGGUGAAUACGUUCCCGGGCCUUGUACACACCGCCCGUCACACCACGAGAGUUUGUAACACCCGAAGUCGGUGAGGUAACCUUUUGGAGCCAGCCGCCUAAGGUGGGAC